CCUUGGUAUCUCCAGGAGAGCGGACACUAUCCCCUCAGGGUUGGGAACCUGCUAUCACUAAAUUCCAAUGUUUCUUUUCCUUGAAACUUGGUCUUUAUUGAAUCUUUUGUCCAUACUCUAAAGAUUGUUUCACUACUUUGUGACAACCAAGGCCAAAACUCCCCCCCCCUCCGCUCUCUCCCUUACUAUCCAUCAUUUUGUCCGGCGUCGCCCCCCAUCCGGUGACCCCCUGUAGAGUCACACAUGAUCACUCAGCAACCCUUUGGGACACCUGUGUGGGGGCACCUUGAGGUUGGAACAUCAUCCAGGGAACCAGCUGGACCUCCUUUGUUGCGACGAUGAAGCUUUUUUUGGACUGUUCCAUACUCUUCUACUUGUCACAACUAAAACCUCUGAAGAAGACCUUUAGGGUCGAAACGUGUGAGGAUCUAUUUUUAUAUAUGCUAUGUUUACCCUUAUCAAGCUGUAUAAUUACCUGUUGUGUGCUGUAAAAAGUUAUGGAAUUUUAAUGCCUUUUGUAUUACCGCAACUUAUGUCUUAACCAUACCCCCCAUCCCUCCUUUUGUAUGUGUUAUUCCCAAUAAACCUUUUUUACACAUUG